rnacentral:tRNA from 1 species
GGAGGAAAGAGCUCAGUGCUAGAGUGCGUGCUUAGCAUGCACGAGGUCCUGGGUUCAAUCCCCAGUACCUCCA